AGGAGGAACAACCGCAGUGGAGGCGGCCAGCUCUGGAGUCCUGUAUUCAGCUCCCGCAGUAGCUCCAGAGCUCUCUGUCUGCAGGGCCUGGAGGCUCCAGGGCAGG
rnacentral:pre_miRNA from 1 species